GUGGGGAAUAUUGGACAAUGGGCGAAAGCCUGAUCCAGCCAUGCCGCGUGUGUGAAGAAGGUCUUCGGAUUGUAAAGCACUUUAAGUUGGGAGGAAGGGCAGUAAGUUAAUACCUUGCUGUUUUGACGUUACCGACAGAAUAAGCACCGGCUAACUUCGUGCCAGCAGCCGCGGUAAUACGAAGGGUGCAAGCGUUAAUCGGAAUUACUGGGCGUAAAGCGCGCGUAGGUGGUUUUGUAAGUUGGAGGUGAAAUCCCCGGGCUCAACCUGGGAACUGCCUCCAAAACUGCAUGACUAGAGUACGGUAGAGGGUAGUGGAAUUUCCUGUGUAGCGGUGAAAUGCGUAGAUAUAGGAAGGAACACCAGUGGCGAAGGAGACUACCUGGACUGAUACUGACACUGAGGUGCGAAAGCGUGGGGAGCAAACAGGAUUAGAAACCCUAGUAGUCC
rnacentral:rRNA from 1 species